GCCGGAGGAUGACGAGAAGUGGAGUUUAAACCGAGGAGAAGUCAGUUUAGUCAUCUUUUUAAUGACAUUUUAUAUUUGACAUUGCUGUUAGCCAGCGGAUGCAUUAAACUGAGGAAAAUUACAUGAAGGCUGGAGCCAGCCAGUCUGCUCCCAUCAGCCUCAUACAGGCCUGCACCAAAAUACACCCAGAAUAUUUACAGGGGAGCUCCCACCGAGAGACACCGCGCAGCCGAGGACUUACCGGAACCUGCAGUGUACAAACACCCGGGGGGUGUGGGGGGAGGCCGGUUGUGCAGUUGGAGACAAGCAGAGACUUUCACCUAUUUCACUUGAAACGCGUUCUGCAAGAUGUGAAAGAAGAUAAAAGACAAAUAUGAAGAUUUCGAUCAGAGGAAACGGUUGAAUGGAUCAUAACCCUGGAUUUCUUUCAACAACCAAACGUGAGAUUUGAUCUCAGCACAGGAAAAGUUUUGCUGUGAGUCUGCCUGUUUGGAGGAGAGGAACUACAACACAUUCAGGAGUUUGCCAACAAACAAACGGAUGCAAUUAAACACACUCGCCUUCAGAUCAUCAAUGAGGAGGCAAAGUCAAGACUGGUGGAAAAACAGACAAGGACAAACAUAAGACGGGAGAAGACUCUGCUGCCUCAAGGUUAAACUUGAACUGUGUAAAGAACUCGUCUUUGCACAAUCUGGAUAGUCUUCUUCAAAGACACAUCACUAGCUGUUUUUUUUUAUUUGAAAUGUCCUCAUUUUACAACUUGAUAUAACUCUUAAUUGAUGUUAUAUUUUGGUAUCAUUGCUGAAGAAUUAAAUUAUGUUUAUUUAUUAUCAUAUUCCUGUUUCUCUGCCUCUGCACUGCCUUGGAAGUAGUUAAAAAAAUAUUGCAAAUAAAGACUAUCAUUGUCAAAUCAUCA